CAAAGAUACAGUCACAAAGGAAAUCCUCUUUCUUACAUUAAACUUCUGAAACCAAAAUCACUCCAGAUGUUUCUUUGGCAGACAGACAACCUCUACAAAGGUUAUUCUUUGGCCCCGCCCACUGAUACUAGAGUCAGCCAAUGAGAUUCCCUCCAUCUCCAGAGCACAUAUGAUGGAGUAACUGUGAGCUCAAUCAUCUCAGUGUUGAGGAUUAGAUCUGUGCAGCAAAGAGCUUCUCUGUGUUUUCAUUCUCUAUCAGAGGAAGGACACUGAUCAUCUGCUGUCUGUUUGACUUCAACUACUCCAAAGACAUGUGUCUCUACCUCUUUUUACUUGGCUCUAAUUUCAUAGGUAAGUGUUAGAACAGACAGCAAACUCCAACCUCACCUGCUGCUUUCAGCAGAUAUUUGGUCAACAUUUCACAAGCAGAGCUUGAUCUGAGUAAGCUAACAUUUUCAGGGACUGAUAGACAUUUGCUGUUUGAAGAAUCUCUCAAUGAUCCAGGAUAACAGAUGAAGUAAAGGACUGUUUUUCAGUCUCUUGGUGUCAGAGUCUCUUCUAACUAACAUGAAUUAUACUCCUUUUUCAGCCCUGGCCUCCAUGAACACCAUAAAACCAGUCAGCCCUGAAGAAACUGUUAAAGAGGGCACAAACAUCAACCUGACCUGUACUUAUGAUGGUGCUAUCAACAAUAUCCAAUGGUACCGACAAUACCAGAGAUCCAGACCAGAGUUCCUGCUCUACAUCACAGAGUACGGAUCAAUUCAUCCAAC